GUUCAGAGCCGGAGCAUUCCGUUCCGGUUUUCGGUGUUUAAUAACGGAGUAAGUUGAAUGGCCCGUAUAGCCGGCGUCAAUAUUCCUGAU
rfam:Gynuella sunshinyii YC6258, complete genome.